GACCGCUCCGGUAGCCUGGUGCUUAAAGCAUCCGCCUCGAAUGCGAGAGGUCGUGGGUUCAAUCCCUGGCCGAGUCA